rnacentral:lncRNA from 1 species
UGUAGUAAAUGAUGAAUAAAAACAAUCUAUUUUCGUCAUAGAAACACAAAUUAGUAGAAAAUCUUUUGGAAUAUUGUAAUUAAUUAUCAAAUUGCUAUAAAAUAAUAAACACAAUCUUCAAACAGUAAACAUAAUAUGGAUAUUUACCUAAGUAGUGUACUUUAACAUAUAACUCCGUGAUAAUUAAAUCUCUAAGUCGUAAAAAUAUUGUCAAGAAAAGCAAAUGAAAAUGGUCAUACUUUUGACAAUGUAAUCCAACAUGAUGGAUGUUAUCUAUAACACACUCGAGCAUGAACAAAAUAUAAAUAAAAAGAAUGUGAAAAUAUAAACAACAAACAAAUAAAGAAUAAAAAGAAUAUAUUUCCUCUCAUGGCGAUGUAAACUUAGUACAAAUCAUGAGUUUCUGUUGCAAACAAAAAUUAAAAAUCACAAUAAUGAAAAAUUAUGCUUGAUUGAUGUUGCUGCUUUGUCUGUGUCAAUUAAAAACUUCGUGUAAUUAUUUCUGAUACAUAUGGAUUUUAUUGUUUCUUCCUCAAUUUAUAUACAGAAGUACCAACAUAUUUUUUUUCUAAAAUAAAACAUUAACUUUCUCAUAUCUAAAUUACAAUUGAUAAUUUGUUGCUAAAAUUAUAAUAGCUAUAAUGAGAGUUUAUAUUACAAUAGGUUGGGUCAAAAAAUCUCACAAAUUCAAACCUCCCUCCUACAACCAUGAUAAUAAUGAUUCAUUUCAAAAGACAACAAAAAUACUAAUACCAAAUUUGAAUUUCAAAGUAAACUAUAGAAAUUAUUUGAAAUAGAUUUUUAACUAUGUACAUGGAAAUACCAAAAAUGACUUAAAAUCAUUAUCGAUCUACUGUUCCAAUAUCAUAAACGUGCUAUUAGAAGUUUCAUAAUUUAUUCAUAUUCCAAAAAGACGUAAUCAAAACAAUUGUUUGGAAUUCAUAGUUAUCUCUUUUAUCUUGUAAGUUUUUUUCUGUUGAUACUUCUCAUAUCUCAAAUUUGACACUGAAGGGAAAUGUUGAUUUGAGCAUUUCCAUGUAUCAGAGUAUUAAAUUGAUACAUCUUCGUGUAGUAUGCUUUACAUGAUUUAUCGACUCCAUAUUGGUUUUGAAUAAAUAAUUAAUAUUCUUUACAUAUCAAAUGCAGAAAAGAAAAUAUGAUCUUUUUUGAAUAGGAAGGAAAUAUUUCACACAAAUAAUUGAUAUAACAAAAUUGACAUAGCAAACACUGGAUCACAUAUUAAAUCAGAUAUGGUUAACAUAUAUUCCUAAAUAGAAUAGGAGACACAAAACCUGUAACAUUAUAAAACGAAUCAAGUAUUGUAAAUCAUACGUAAUAAACAAAAUAAUCAUUUAAAUAAUAUACAAACUGUACAAUUCGCAAUUUCUUUGCAAGAUUUGUUAUUAAACAGAUGUGUUG